rnacentral:rRNA from 1 species
UCCAGAGGGUGCGAGCGAUGUCCGGAAUUACUGGGCGUAAAGGGCGCGUAGGCGGCCUGAUAAGUCGGGGGUGAAAUUCAGCGGCUCAACCGCUGGACUGCCUUCGAGCCUGUCGGGCUCGAGCACGGUAGAGGCUGGUGGAAUUCCCGGUGUAGCGGUGGAAUGCGUAGAGAUCGGGAAGAACAUCGGUGGCGAAGGCGGCCAGCUGGGCCGUUGCUGACGCUGAGGCGCGACAGCGUGGGGAGCAAACAGG